CGGACGGGUGAGUAAUGUCUGGGAAACUGCCCGAUGGAGGGGGGUAACUACUGGAAACGGUAGCUAAUACCGCAUAACGUCGCAAGACCAAGAGGGGGACCUUCGGGCCUCUUGCCAUCGGAUGUGCCCAGAUGGGAUUAGCUAGUAGGUGGGGUAACGGCUCACCUAGGCGACGAUCCCUAGCUGGUCUGAGAGGAUGACCAGCCACACUGGAACUGAGACACGGUCCAG
rnacentral:rRNA from 1 species